rnacentral:tRNA from 1 species
AUGUGGCUCAAGUGGUAACAUGCUCGCCUAGCAUGAGCGAGGCUCUGGGUUCGAUUCUCAGCACCACAUA